rnacentral:tRNA from 1 species
GCCAAUGUGGUUGUAGUGGUUUGACUGCUGGACUACAACUCUGGAGACCAGGGUUCAAUUCCUGCUUGGCCA